rnacentral:rRNA from 1 species
CAAGUCGAACGGGAAUCUUCGGAUUCUAGUGGCGGACGGGUGAGUAACGCGUAAGAAUCUAACUUCAGGACGGGGACAACAGUUGGAAACGACUGCUAAUACCCGAUGUGCCGCAAGGUGAAACCUAAUUGGCCUGGAGAAGAGCUUGCGUCUGAUUAGCUAGUUGGUGGGGUAAAGGCCUACCAAGGCGACGAUCAGUAGCUGGUCUGAGAGGAUGAGCAGCCACACUGGGACUGAGACACGGCCCAGACUCCUACGGGAGGCAGCAGUGGGGAAUUUUCCGCAAUGGGCGAAAGCCUGACGGAGCAACGCCGCGUGAGGGAGGAAGGUCUUUGGAUUGUAAACCUCUUUUCUCAAGGAAGAAGUUCUGACGGUACUUGAGGAAUCAGCCUCGGCUAACUCCGUGCCAGCAGCCGCGGUAAUACGGGGGAGGCAAGCGUUAUCCGGAAUUAUUGGGCGUAAAGCGUCCGCAGGUGGUCAGCCAAGUCUGCCGUCAAAUCAGGUUGCUUAACGACCUAAAGGCGGUGGAAACUGGCAGACUAGAGAGCAGUAGGGGUAGCAGGAAUUCCCAGUGUAGCGGUGAAAUGCGUAGAGAUUGGGAAGAACAUCGGUGGCGAAAGCGUGCUACUGGGCUGUAUCUGACACUCAGGGACGAAAGCUAGGGGAGCGAAAGGGAUUAGAUACCCCUGUAGUCCUAGCCGUAAACGAUGGAUACUAGGCGUGGCUUGUAUCGACCCGAGUCGUGCCGAAGCUAACGCGUUAAGUAUCCCGCCUGGGGAGUACGCACGCAAGUGUGAACUCAAAGGAAUUGACGG